GGAGCCGCCUGGGCACGUAGGCAGUAACUCCAGGGGUAGUGCUUUAUACUGGCAGAGCGGGAGGGGAGAUCUGGCUUCGUCCGCCUUGGAUCGCACGGCAGCCGAGCCGUCUCCCCCUGUGCCAGAACGGCCAGCUGGCGGGGGCCGCUCAGGAGAGGGCCCGUGGGCUGAGCGGCUGCACGGCCCAGGCAAUGGGGCUGAUGCAGGCGCCACCUUCCCCACGGCCAGGGGGCUCCUCGCGCCGCGCUCUGUGACGUCCCCGGGAAGUCACUGUGGCCACUGGAGGCGCCCGCGCUGCAGCCGGGACCCGGACGCGUUCUCAGGUGCUCCGCUGAGAGCUAGUUCUGGCUCUUGACGAGUUGCUGAUGAGCACAAAGUAGAUAGAAUGAGUCAAAUGAGGGGUAAUGUGUCACCAAAUGGCAGUGAAGAGAAGAAACAGUUAUUCUUUCACAGUUGCAAAAAACACAAUAUGUGAACUUCCUUAAUCUGAAGGAUCUGCAGUGGAAAUUCUAUAAAGGCAUUGUGAAAAGAAAACAGAAAGUUAGAGUUUUAUGGAGAGAAGCAAACUACAGACCUUUCAAGCCAUUCCAGGAAAAAAUCAGGAAUGAAGAAUACAUGCUCCCUUUGAUUCCUAAGAACUGGAUAAUUCAUGAUUCUCUUAAAUGAGUUUGUGCAAUGCAUAUCCUGUUUACAUCAAACAAAUGAUGACUAUAAAUGAAUGGAGAGUGACUGCAGUUCUUCAGAAAAUUUAAAUAAAAAUGUCAAGACAUUAUACAA